UACGUAGGGUGCGAGCGUUGUCCGGAAUUACUGGGCGUAAAGAGCUCGUAGGUGGUUUGUCGCGUUGUUCGUGAAAACUCACAGCUUAACUGUGGGCGUGCGGCGAUACGGGCAGACUGGAGUACUGCAGGGGAGACUGGAAUUCCUGGUGUAGCGGUGAAAUGCGCAGAUAUCAGGAAGAACACCCGUGGCGAAGGCGGCUCUCUGGGACGGUACUGACGCUGAGACGCGAAAGCGUGGGAGCGAACAGG
rnacentral:rRNA from 1 species